rnacentral:piRNA from 1 species
UGCCAGAUAUCAUGAAGUGAAGCCAACGC